rnacentral:rRNA from 1 species
GACGAACGCUGGCGGCGUGCCUAAUACAUGCAAGUAGAACGCUGAAGAGAGGAGCUUACUCUUCUUGGAUGAGUUGCGAACGGGUGAGUAACGCGUAGGUAACCUGCCUUGUAGCGGGGGAUAACUAUUGGAAACGAUAGCUAAUACCGCAUAACAAUGGAUGACACAUGUCAUUUAUUUGAAAGGGGCAAUUGCUCCACUACAAGAUGGACCUGCGUUGUAUUAGCUAGUAGGUGGGGUAAUGGCUCACCUAGGCGACGAUACAUAGCCGACCUGAGAGGGUGAUCGGCCACACUGGGACUGAGACACGGCCCAGACUCCUACGGGAGGCAGCAGUAGGGAAUCUUCGGCAAUGGGGGCAACCCUGACCGAGCAACGCCGCGUGAGUGAAGAAGGUUUUCGGAUCGUAAAGCUCUGUUGUAAGUCAAGAACGGGUGUGAGAGUGGAAAGUUCACACUGUGACGGUAGCUUACCAGAAAGGGACGGCUAACUACGUG